rnacentral:lncRNA from 1 species
GCUCUGGCUACAUAGUAGUUAUUGUGCCUCUCAAGUUUGAACCAGCUCUGGCCAGAACUACACCCUGACCUCUAAUAGAGCCCACCGUGACUUACCAAUCCAAACCCCUUUUUCUCAGUAUUCAGAAACUACCACCAGUCAGCCCGGACCUACAGUCACAUCUUUUCCUAUACACCUAACUGGACACCCCGCCUGAACACUCUCAAAGUUCAAGUACAACUUAGGAGCGCCCAGCUGUCAUUCUUCUAGGACGCACACACAAAAGGAGCCCCGAGGCAUAUACCGCAUUCCUUCUCCGUCAGUCUCCUGCAGGAGCCUCUGCGCCCCACUUGCUAGACACAGCCGACCCCGCCCCCCUGCUGCUCUCUCUCGGGUCCCCUUCGCCGAGGGACCGGGGAUCUGCGCUGGCUGCCCGCCUUUUCCAGCAGCCCCUAGGCGCUGCAGGGCUGGUUGGCUCACCUGGACCGGCAGGCGGGACAGAUGGCGACCCCGGGCUGCGAGCAAACGCCACGCCGAGCUAGCAGACCCGGGGUUGGCCCGCGGCGUUGUGCCUCCAACCCGGAAGAACAGCCCCAACUUUGAGGCGGCGGCGGCGACCACGUGACACAGGGCUGCCUAGACCCGGACCCGCGCCCCCUUUCGGCACCCCUUCUCCCCCUCCCCGAGCCUCCUGCCAAACCCGCUUGGCCCGAUCGCCAGUCUGCAAAGGAGAAAAAGACUCCACCAGAUGCACGCUUACAGCGCAGCAGCUGGUCCCCUCCGGGUGGCCGCUGAAGCCCCUUUGUCUCUGCCAGGGCCCCAGGCCCGCAGCCCCGCCCCCUUGCUCUUGCUCAAUCGGCCUCUGUCAAUCAAACCCGAUGCCAAGCACUGCAACUCAAGUUUUUAGGAAUUCGUACCUCUUCUUUCCCCCCAGGAGACUAAGUUACAAAGUGUGAUUUCCUCACCGGUCUCCCAGCAGAGCAAAUAAACGGAUACUAUAACUCC